AAGAAAAAGUCUUAAGAAGCGCGUGAAAGAGUGCUGCUGGGUUUCAAUGAGUAUUUUGAAGUGGAAGAAAAGAUGUUGAAAAGAAGAAGGAAAAGCAAGCUUCCUAUCUUUCUACUGUUACUUCUCUCUCAUCUCUCUCUCUCUCUACAUGGUACAUACACAUCUAUCUUCUCGAUGGAUUGAAGCCAUGUCAUCUAUCGUGACCCCAGGAUCACAAAACGAAAUCGAAUUUUAAGGCAGCCACCGUUCCUCCAUCUCCCAUCUCACCACCGUACUCCGUACAUCAUCUCCACCGCAACCGGACGCCACCUCUCGCCAUCACCACCACCUCCGGUCACCAUCAGCACCGCCACCUCCACCCUCCACCCCUGAACACCCUCCCGCCGCUUCUCACCACCUCUUCCAACCGAACCACCAUUACCACCUCCCACCACCGUAGUCACCUCCUCCUCCUCACAACCGGACCACCUCCAGCCGCCGCUCAUCCUCAAACAAACCGGAGCAAACCACCACCGAGAACAUCACCCCACAGCCGCGCUCAUCAUCACCACCUACCGGGACCGCCGUCGCUCCGAUCCGCCACCGAACCUCUUUGAAAACCGUUCACCAGACAAGAGGUAUUGAAGACGGAAUAGAAGGGGCGUAGGCAAGGAAUGAUUUGAUGAAGACCAAGGAAGAGAUUGUCGACUCUGAAUUCCUUCCUCUUAAUUACUCUGACUAAUUUAAAUGGACUUAAUUUUGAGAGCUUCCUGGUCUAUUGGGAAUUGUAAUAUUUUGACAGAUUCAAAAACUUAAAUUAAAUUUGAUAUGGUUGUAAUAUGGUGACACGGGCUUUUGGAACAAUGACGUAGUAAAUCUAUGAAUUUCUCUU